UACGAAGGGGGCUAGCGUUGCUCGGAAUCACUGGGCGUAAAGCGCACGUAGGCGGCUUGUUAAGUCAGGGGUGAAAUCCUGGAGCUCAACUCCAGAACUGCCUUUGAUACUGGCAAGCUUGGAGUCCGGGAGAGGUGAGUGGAACUGCGAGUGUAGAGGUGAAAUUCGUAGAUAUCUGGAGGAACACCGGUGGCGAAGGCGGCAUCCUGGACCAAUACUGACACUGAGGAGCGAAAGCCAGGGGAGCAAACGGG
rnacentral:rRNA from 1 species